rnacentral:piRNA from 1 species
UUUCUGCAAUGAUCUGUUUCC